AUGUCAAAUGGCCCGUGACUCGCUGUGUUAAUCUGUGGAGCGAAAUUGCUGUAGCCAUCCAUGUGUGAGGGAUUACGCUCUUCUCAAUCCCUCCUUAUCCUGCAGCUGAACCCAACACCUGAAGAACUGAGUGUCUACUUUCUCUCUGCUGUGCCACUGCCGCUGCUGCUGCGACAGUGUUACAAUACCAUACAGCCACAGGGCUUUUUUGGGUGUUGUUUUUAUUUAUUUACUUAUUCUGGUGGAUUAAGACGUAGUUUGGGAAAGUUAAUCCUGCUUGAUGAAGCAGACAAGUGGGAUCAGAGGAAGCAACAUCAGAUCUGCACGGGAGGGAAGUUUCCGCAACAAAACCAUGGCAGAGAGUGACGAGUGUCUGCACCAGUGAUUCCCAAAGACGAGGUCACAGCUGAUCAGCAUCACUCUGACCUUCAUUAAAUGUUAAAUGAAAGUACUGAAUGAACAUGAGCAGCAUGCCUGGAUUUCUCUCUACUACAGUCUCUGGGAUUAUCGCGCUGACGUGAACAACCUUCCGAUCUGAUGAGCUGCCAACAAACACACAAGAGAGACAACAAUGAA